CCUCCCACUAGAAGCAAUACAGAUGUGGCCACUGUGGCACAUGUGAGUCAGUAGGUAGCAGAGAGGAGAGAGGCUAUAUCUUCUAUGCUCAGUGCUCUGACCUAUGAACAUUUGAAUGAUUAGUAGUCUAACAUU
ensembl:snoRNA LOC120100427 small nucleolar RNA SNORA17